CCGGACCUGACGACGCUGAUGUGGAACUGGUCCUCGGGCAGCGCCCUCCAGGCUCCGGGCAGGAACUCCUUGCACCAGAGGCUUCUCUAGAUCUACUUGGAGACUCUGUCCCCACUCACACUAAUGAGGUCCCCGGCAAGGCUGGGGCAGAAAAGAACCUACAGAAAAAGAAGCAACAGAAAGGCCCAAGUCUGCCCGGGUGGGGAGAGCGGGGGCCUAGCAUUGGCGAUGGCCCUGGAGCUCUCGGCAAUGACUCCAGGGGAGAGAAGGUCUCCCUCUUUGUGGACACCCGACCGACCAAGUGGCAAUUCAUCCCUGCUCCGGGGAGCCCACAAACUGCUGGCUAUUCAGAGGGGUCCGGAGGACCGAGACCCACGAUCCCUGCGUCUCCUGGCGGGCGAUGGCAGGCCGAGGGAGCUGUGCUUGUGCACGAAGGCUGGCUGCUCGGUGUAACCAUCCCUUUUUGUUUACCCAUGAAUACUUGCAGCUGUUUUUCUCUGGGUGUUCAUAUUCUUGGAGCACUUUUCUGUUGGGGAAUGAGCCUUCUCCUUUUUAAAAUUCAGGACCAGAGCCUUUCUCCACUUCCCACUGAGGGACUGUUUUCCUUACCCUGCACAGGGCCUCAGGGCGGUUCACUCCCUCUCUGCUCGUCCAAUAAGUCCUGGCCUCCGUGCCCAGCCUGGGUCCAAGUCACCCUGGAUCACCUUAUCAUCCACAUGCGCCUGCCCAGCUCCCAGCCCGGUCCUGGCCAUGUCAUGCGCCUCUCUUACUCCACAGACCCACAGCCCAGCCUGGGCCUGCUCCGGGCUCGUGCCCGCUCCCGCUGCCCGGCGAUCUCGGGACCCCCGACUUUGGCUCCCACCUUUCUCUGCUGUCCAGAGCGGCUUGAUCUUGGCCAAGUCUCUUGUUCUCUCAGCCUCAGUGUCCCUGUCUGCAAGACUACCUCUUCUCUGAGAUCUCCUCCAGUCCUAACAACGUGGGGGGCUACAUCCGGGGCCUCCUUCACUCUCAGCAUUUGACUUGUCAGGGAAAAUCUGGGCCAUGCAACGCGAGUCCAUCCUGCUUGCUGACAGAGCCCUUCAGAACAGCCCUCUUAAGUUCCUCUGUGCAUUAGGAAACUCCUACCCUAAGGGAGCUUGGAAAAAAUACAUAAUGUACAUUUUACUGAAAACAAGUUUUUAAAAAUGUUAA